CAGCUAUUGCUAGCAAACGGCAGUUUUAUACCGAGUCUCCAAUCGAAAGGUUACUUCUACGGAAAUGUUAGUUUUAAAAUUACAAAUGUGUGGUUUGUAAUUUUAAUGUUAAUUAUAAAAUUCAAACGAAUAGAAGUUUUCAGCGUCUUGUCUUACUCUAUGUUUCUAGUCAUAAACGCGACAAUUUUGACGAAAAGCGCGUGCAUGAGCUGUUAUUUUGGAACUUUACUUGUCGAGGUACAAAAUCUGACUGUAACGUGCUUCAGGGUCUCAGAAUAAAAGGAACGGAUUGCACAGCGGCAAGUUGUAAGAGAAAUUCUCGAAAACCUAUCUGCUUUCAUUACUGAAUUUGUGAAAAAUUUAAUUUUAAAAUCAAAUUAUUUUUCCGCAUGGAUAAAAGAAUUAUAUUGACAAUUGAAACCAUUGUCAUAAUUAAAGCUUCUGUUCUUCAGGUUUAGAUGUAUGCUAAAUCGAACGUUUACAAAAUACCGAAUGCAUUGAGCAUUUCUUUGAUAACGGAUGACGAAGAUCGGGUUACCGGAAACGGGCUUACCUUAGUAACCGUAUCUGUUGAUGUAUCGGUAACCGCCGCCGUACAAGUAAUCGGCGCCGUUGUUGUCAUCCUGGUACUGAGCAAACGCGGCCUGGAGCAUGACGACCAUUGCCAAUGUGGCGGCUUGGUAGAUGAACUGGCGUACUGACUCCAUUUCGAUUGCUUUAGGUUACUGAAGGACUCUUCGUUAGAACGUUGAGUGAAGAACCAUUGUCAGGGCUUCGUUUAUAUAGUCUCAAAAUUGUCCAAAACAACGUUAUUUUUUUUUCAAAUUAAACGAGACGUCAAAAUAUUUUGCGAUGGAUGUUUAUGGGAGUUGUUCAACAAGGUUUACUUGCAAGAACGCGGAAAACGUUGUUGUCGUUUUUUAGGGAACUUCCUUGCACGUUCUUUGUUCAUAGGUUUUACGAUCUAAUGUCUGGAAGAAGACGAAUCAGUUUCCACGUGUUGCAUAGCAUGACCUGAUCAAGUUUCUUAGAAACGCUUUCCAAAAAUAUUUGUUAUAUCUCAUUUUAUUGCUUUUGCACUAUAGCGUUUGAUAUUUUGAGGACGGAAUGUAUUUUGGACUUAUGUUUCGACACGAGAUUGAUCGAUAUGUACUGUUUGCAAUGCGAUGCAAA
rnacentral:sRNA from 1 species